GAUGAACGCUGGCGGCGUGCCUAAUACAUGCAAGUCGAGCGAACAGACGAGGAGCUUGCUCCUCUGACGUUAGCGGCGGACGGGUGAGUAACACGUGGAUAACCUACCUAUAAGACUGGGAUAACUUCGGGAAACCGGAGCUAAUACCGGAUAAUAUAUUGAACCGCAUGGUUCAAUAGUGAAAGACGGUUUUGCUGUCACUUAUAGAUGGAUCCGCGCCGCAUUAGCUAGUUGGUAAGGUAACGGCUUACCAAGGCAACGAUGCGUAGCCGACCUGAGAGGGGGAUCGGCCCCACGGGAGCGGGGACCCGGCCCAAACCCCGAGGGGGGGCAGGGGUAGGAAUCCUUCCGCAAGGGGCAAAAGCCUACCGGGCCAACGCCGGGUGGGUGAUAAAGGGUUUGGGUUCGUAAAACUCUUUUUUUGGGGAAAAACAAAUUUUUAAUAAACUAUGCCCGUUUUGAGGGAACCAAAGAAAAAACCCCCGCCAACCUACGG
rnacentral:rRNA from 1 species